CACCAUAAUUUUUAUUACACGGAUCUGUUAACAGUUCAAAAAUUGUAUUCUUUAAUAUACAGAGAGUUUUAAUAGUAUUAAUCUCCAAAGUACAACAAUGCGGUCAUAAAAAAUAAGGUUUAUUUACAGCUUUUCAAAUAAUAUGUUUAUUUGAGUUAAACUACAAGAUAAAUUAAUGGCAUAUUCAAUAUUUUUGUAAGCAGUCAUAACAAUUUAUUCAUUUUACUCGACCUCGCCUAGCUGGAACUCUGCUCCAGAUACGGUGCCCUGCGAGCCUCAUGCGCAUGUUGAUCCUUCGGGAUGAUGUCCUACUGGAAGGCCACUGAUACCGAUAGGAGUACACAGCUACGCCGGUCACAAUGUGUGUUUUGCAAAUGUAGUAUUACUCCAGAAACAGUUUACCAGAAAAAUAGUCUCACUUGUAAAUUAAAUAAUAUUUUAAAAAAAUGUAAUUUAUUCUACAAAAUACUUAGGUGUGUUCAAAAUUAUACUUCAUAAUAAUCUACUAAUUAUUGUUUAGUAAGUUAAGCAAGCGAAAGAAAACUUAAUAAUUAUUAAAUAAAAUAUUUGAAUGCCAUGUUAUUAGUGAAAACUAUAUCGACUAUCAUAGAAUUUAAACAAAAUCGACACGCGCGAACCAAAAUCAUUCUUACCAAAAACUAUGUGUGUGGACUUAAUAAAAACAAAAGUUAUUAACAAUUUAAAAUAAUGAUUAGAAGUGAAAAGUGGGUUCUGAUAUUUUAAUAACUUAACAUUUCCCGCCCGUACUCUUCUUCUCAUCAAGUUAUAAAUAUGUCAAUAACUUCCGAAAUACUGGUACAAAAGUUGUUUUCGACCAGUCUUUUAUUAAUAAGACCAUUAUCCAAUAAAUAGGCCAGUUGAUUAGGGGUAUUGAGAAAUUUAAGUUAAUACCCUUGAGAAAAAUAUUGAACUAACAAAAACAAAUAAAAAAAUUAUUAAUAUUAUUUUUAUUUUUUGAUUAAUAAUAAUAAAUGAAUCACCACGCAUACAAUUUAAAAGGAAUUACUCAAUCUCUCUUUACAAAAUUUCAAAAGAAUAGCAAAAUGUGAUUGGGUUUGCUAAUGACUUUCCAAAGGGUGCUAAGUAACCAAAACAUUCCUCUAUUUGCGUUUUUGCGCGUUACAAUACCCUAACAAUUGUUUUCUGUAGGUACAUCUAAUUAGUAAGUAAUUGCAAGCAUCUCCACUAAAUGUUAUAAAUUUCAAAUAAAAAUUAUUUUUCAUAUAAAUUAUAAAAUAGCUACUGUUUUUCUAAUUAGUAUUUAUAUAUUUUAUUAUCUUAUA